rnacentral:rRNA from 1 species
CCUACGGGAGGCAGCAGUGGGGAAUCUUGCGCAAUGGGCGAAAGCCUGACGCAGCGACGCCGCGUGGGGGAAGAAGGCCUUCGGGUUGUAAACCUCUUUCAGCAGGGACGAAGCCACUCGGGUUAAUAGCCCAGAGGGUGACGGUACCUGCAGAAGAAGCCCCGGCUAACUACGUGCCAGCAGCCGCGGUAAUACGUAGGGGGCAAGCGUUGUCCGGAUUUAUUGGGCGUAAAGAGCGUGUAGGCGGCCAGACAAGUCCGUUGUGAAAACUAGAGGCUUAACCUCUAGACGUCGAUGGAAACUGUUUGGCUAGAGUCCGGAAGAGGAGAAUGGAAUUCCUGGUGUAGCGGUGAAAUGCGCAGAUAUCAGGAAGAACACCCGUGGCUAAGGCGGUUCUCUAGUACGGUACUGACGCUGAGACGCGAAAGCGUGGGGAGCGAACAGGAUUAGAUACCCUGGUAGUCCACGCCGUAAACGAUGGGUGCUAGGUGUGGGGGGUGUCGACUCCUCCGUGCCGAAGCUAACGCAUUAAGCNCCGCCGUCGGAGGUACGGCCGCGACGACGUAACUACAAGAAGUAGACGCGNGAGACGUGCCGACGGACGACGACGAGGGAGGUAGG